UACAGAGGUGGCAAGCGUUGUUCGGAAUUACUGGGCGUAAAGGGCGCGUAGGCGGCCUUCUAAGUCAGACGUGAAAUCCCCCGGCUUAACCUGGGAACUGCGUCUGAUACUGGAGGGCUUGAGUAUGGGAGAGGGAUGUAGAAUUCCAGGUGUAGCGGUGAAAUGCGUAGAUAUCUGGAGGAAUACCGGUGGCGAAGGCGGCAUCCUGGACCAUUACUGACGCUGAGGUGCGAAAGCGUGGGGAGCAAACAGGG
rnacentral:rRNA from 1 species